UACGGAGGGUGCAAGCGUUAAUCGGAAUGACUGGGCGUAAAGGGUGCGUAGGUGGUUUAAUAAGUUAUAGGUGAAAUCACUGGGCUUAACCUGGUGUGGAAUUAUGAUACUGUUAGACUCGAGUAUAGGAGAGGGUAGUGGAAUUUCCGGUGUAGCGGUGAAAUGCGUAGAGAUCGGAAGGAACACCAGUUGCGAAGGCGGCUACCUGGCCUGGUACUGACACUGAGGCACGAAAGCGUGGGGAGCAAACAGG
rnacentral:rRNA from 1 species